CAAAUUUAUAAUCUGGCACCUUCGGUGUCCGAGUUGUAAUCUCUAGAAAUGUUUUCCGCGUUGGACCGCACACAAGUCUGUUGGAAUACAGCGGCAUAGUGGUGAGACCCCCGUAUAUGGUGCGGACGCCCAGCGCUUUGUGAUACAUUUUCGAAGAGUCGAGUUGUUUGGGAAUGCAGCUCAAAUUGGGUGGUAAAUUCCAUCUAAAGCUAAAUAUUGGCGAGAGACCGAUAGCGAACAAGUACCGUGAGGGAAAGAUGAAAAGCACUUUGGAAAGAGAGUUAACAGUACGUGAAAUUGUUGGAAGGGAAACGCUUGAAGUCAGACUUGCUUGCCGAGCAAUCGGUUUGCAGGCCAGCAUCAGUUUUCCGGGAUGGAUAAUGGUAGAGAGAAGGUAGCAGUUUCGGCUGUGUUAUAGCUCUCUGCUGGAUACAUCUUGGGGGACUGAGGAACGCAGUGUGCCUUUGGCGGGGGUUUCGACCUCUUCACACUUAGGAUGCUGGUGGAAUGGCUUUAAACGACCCGUCUU
rnacentral:rRNA from 1 species